GGUCCCGUGGUGCAGUCUGGCCCAGCACGCUUCCUUGUCAAGGAAGAGAUCGCGGGUUCGAAUCCCGUCGGGACCGCCA
rnacentral:tRNA from 1 species